GCUUGUCCCAUGCUGUUGGUUGGUCAGGGAAAGUGAACAGAUUUGUCUAGAGUUGCUUAAGUGCUCAUUGGAUCUGUCUACUUCUCCAUCCUGGGGAAGGAGACAAAGCGGAAAGAAGACUUCUAAGUAAUUCCAGUAAGCUGUGCCUCCAGCCAGAGCCUAGCCCAGAGCCAGCAUACUUCAAAGGCAACACGAUGGACUGUCAGCUGCAGCGUGUCUCUUGGUCCAAGGUGGGGCAAAGAUGGAGGCCAAAAGGAUCUAAGGGUCACAGGCAAGGAGAAGUCCUCAGGGCUCCUGAAUGGAAGCUGGGAGGCUGCGUUUUGGAUGUGGCUGGUGACACUUGGGCAGGUAAUGCUUACUCGACACUAGUUCUGUAUGUGCAGAGUCUGUGAUCAAAGGGUGGAGGACGGG
rnacentral:lncRNA from 1 species